rnacentral:rRNA from 1 species
GGUUAAGCGACUAAGCGUACACGGUGGAUGCCCUGGCAGUCAGAGGCGAUGAAGGGCGUGCUAAUCUGCGAUAAGCGCCGGUAAGGUGAUAUGAACCGUUAUAACCGGCGAUACCCGAAUGGGGAAACCCAGUGUGGCUCGUCACACUAUCAUUAACUGAAUCCAUAGGUUAAUGAGGCGAACCGGGGGAACUGAAACAUCUAAGUACCCCGAGGAAAAGAAAUCAACCGAGAUUCCCCCAGUAGCGGCGAGCGAACGGGGAGGAGCCCAGAGCCUGAAUCAGCAUGUGUGUUAGUGGAAGCGUCUGGAAAGGCGUGCGAUACAGGGUGACAGCCCCGUACACAAAAGCGCAUGUGCUGUGAGCUCGAUGAGUAGGGCGGGACACGUGGUAUCCUGUCUGAAUAUGGGGGGACCAUCCUCCAAGGCUAAAUACUCCUGACUGACCGAUAGUGAACCAGUACCGUGAGGGAAAGGCGAAAAGAACCCCGGCGAGGGGAGUGAAAAAGAACCUGAAACCGUGUACGUACAAGCAGUGGGAGCCCCACCACUAAGCCAGUGGUGAACUCCACAUACGCAUCCUUUGCUGAGGAUACGGUUAACGGAGCACAAGCGACGUUCAACCUCAAAAGAAGCAGAGGGGGCUUAGUGGUGGGGUGACUGCGUACCUUUUGUAUAAUGGGUCAGCGACUUAUAUUCUGUAGCAAGGUUAACCGUAUAGGGGAGCCGGAGGGAAACCGAGUCUUAAC